GUUUAUCAGGAGGCGCCGCAGUUACUCCCAGGCUGCAGAAAUGGUUGGAAGGCAUGGGGAAGGGAACAGGAUGAGCAAAACUAAGACGUUGGGACGGAUUUUCACCUCAAAAACAAGAAUGCUAAACCCACAGCCUGCUGAUUAAUCUGUCUGAAGCCCAUUACAUGUGAAGUUUUUUGUGUACCUUUGUUAAAUCCAACAAAAAAAGCUUAUCUUCAAAGGAAUUUCCCCAGCGUUGUAACUCUGUGUGGCUAAAGCCUGGGUGUUGCUGCUGCAGUCUGCGGCGAUUGACCUAGGAGAGGAACACAGAUGUAUACAGAUGUGGCCCACACCAGCCUUACAGCUGCCAGAAGCUGGUGUACCAGGGAACUUUCCCAACAGCUACAUAACAAAUGAGAUUAGUUUGGUCAUUGACUUUCGAGUUAGAGCUGGAAGACAUUGGAACUUUGAGGUUUUUGUUAGCUAUACCUGUCCAGGGUAUAUUAAAUAGAAGAACAAAUAACUCUGCUACAGACAAUGCAAGAUUUUCUUCUUCCUAUCCAGUUCCUUAUGGUAGAGCAACAUUCUG